CCUACGGGAGGCAGCAGUGAGGAAUAUUGGUCAAUGGCCGAGAGGCUGAACCAGCCAAGUCGCGUGAGGGAAGAAUGUCCUAUGGAUUGUAAACCUCUUUUGUCAGGGAGCAAAGUUACCCACGUGUGGGUGUUGGAGAGUACCUGAAGAAAAAGCAUCGGCUAACUCCGUGCCAGCAGCCGCGGUAAUACGGAGGGGGCAAGCGUUAUCCGGAUUUACUGGGUGUAAAGGGAGCGUAGACGGUGCGCUAAGUCUGGAGUGAAAGGCCGUGGCUUAACUGCGGAACUGCUUUGGAAACUGGCAGACUUGAGUGCGUGUGGGGUAAGCGGAAUUCGUAGUGUAGCGGUGAAAUGCGUAGAUAUUAGGAAGAACACCGAUGGCGAAGGCAGCUUACUGGACCGUAACUGACGUUGAGGCUCGAAAGCGUGGGGAGCAAACAGGAUUAGAUACCCGGGUAGUC
rnacentral:rRNA from 1 species